UCCGAUAUGGUGUAGUGGCCAACAUGAUGCCCUCUCAAUUACUUGACAGGUUAGGCAUAGCCCCGAGUUCGAUUCUCGGUUUCGGAA
rfam:Glomerella graminicola M1.001 genomic scaffold supercont1.4, whole genome shotgun sequence.